CAGGGAUGUUGCAAUGUCUGCGUCGCCCAGGCUGGUCUCGAAUACCUGGCCUCAAGCAGUCCUCCUGUCUUGGCAUCCUAAAGUGUUGGGAUUAGAGAUGUGAACCAUCACAACUGGCCCAGGCUCAUUCUAACAACCAGCUGUCUUGUGAACUAAUGGGAGGACAUUAAUUUAUUCACGAGGGAUGCACCCCCAGGACUGAAACACCUCCCACUGGAACCCAUCUCCCAACCUUGCCCCAUUGGGGUCUCGACUUCAACACGAAGUUUGAAGGGGACCUUUUUCUAAUCUGCUACUCUAAAGCCACAGCAGCUGUGGGGACAAGAGUGACUAUUUUAGAUGCUAAUCCACCAUGUGACUCCUGACUAAUCUCGAGUCUGGGAAUGCCUCCAAGAUGUCUAGUUGAUGUAUUGUUCUUUAUGUAGAAACUUCUACUUACUAGCACAUGGAUUUUCCUCCCAAGAUACAAGCUCCGGGUCUCGGGGGUUGCGUAUGAAGACCUGUUUGUCUCAUGGUGGUGCAGACUACACUUCUGUCUACGGAGUUUCACUCUUGCUGCCCAGGCUGGAGUGCAACGGCAUGAUUUCAGCUCGCUGCAACCUCUGCCUUCCAGAUCCAAGCAAUUCUUCUGCCUCAGCCUCCCGAGUCGCUGGGAUUACAGGCAUGAGCCACCAUGCCCAGCUACUUUUUUUGUAUUUUUUGUAGAGACUGGUUUCACCAUAUUGGCCAGGCUGGUCUCGAACUCCUGAUCUCAGGUGAUCCACCCACCUCCCAAAGUGCUGGGAUUACAGGUGUGAACCACCGGUCACCAAUUUCAGGGGCUGGAAAAUUAAGCACAGGAUUAUCACCCCUCUCGGUGCCUGGAGUGCCCUCUAAUGGCUACUUCAAUAACUGCCUGGAACAUCUUAAGAGUUUCGCUGUUGUUACCCAGACUGGAGUGCAAUGGCACGAUCUCGGCUCACCGCAACCUCCGCCUCCUGGGUUUAAGCAAUUCUCCUGCCUCAGCCUCCUGAGUAGCUGGGACUACAGGCGUGCGCCACCAUGCCCAGCUAAUUUUUGUAUUUUUAGUAGAGACGGGGUGCGCCACCAUGCCCAGCUAAUUUUUGCAUUUUAGUAGAGACCAGGAUGGUCUCGAUCUCUCGACCCCACGAUCCACCCGCCUCGGCCUCCCAAAGUGCUGGGAUCACAGGAGUGAGCCACCGCGCCCCUCCUCAAUCUCUUUUUAUAAGUUAAUUCAUCUUUGCUGUUUCUUGUGUUAGUUUUGGUAAUUUGUGUAUCUCUGGGAAUUUGUCCAUUUCAUCUAAGUUACCUAAUCUGUUAGCACUUAAAUGUUUAUAGUAUUCCUUCACAGUCCUUUUUGUUGGUAGUAAUGUUCCCAUUCAUUCCAUUCCUUCAUUUCUAAUUCUAGCAUGUGAGAAGCAUAUGUGUUCUACCGUUGCCAGGCAGAAUAUUCUAAAUGUGUCUGUUAGGUCUAGUUGGUUCAUAAUGAUGCUCAAGCCUUCUAUUUUCUUCUUGCUCUUCUGUCUAAUUGUUCUACCUAUUAAAAGUGGGGUACUGAAGUCUCCAACUAUUAUUAACAGUUUUAUAUUUAUCCCUUCUAUUCAUGUAUUUUGGGACUCUGUUGCUAGGUACAUGUGUUAUUUAUAAUUGUUGUUCUUCUUGAUGAAUUAACCCUUUUGUCAAUGCAGAUGAUCCUCAACUUAGACAAAAGGAUUACAUACAUCCUGAUAAGUUUACUGUAAGUUGACAAUUUGAUAAGUUGGAAAUGCAUUUAAUACACUGAACCUAGUAAAUAAACAUCGUAGUUUAGCUUAGCCUAUCUUUAAA
rnacentral:lncRNA from 13 species